rnacentral:sRNA from 1 species
AACCUGUAGGACAUAAAUACAAAAAAAAGAGCACAUUUGUUUUGCAUAUAGAUCAAAGGAUGGUUUGAAGAUAGACAAAAAGGAAGAAAGCAAGAGCGUUAUAUAUAGAUAAGAAAAGAUGGAAGGAUCAAGUAAACCUUAAGUAUUCACAGAGCAUGGAUUAAGUCACACAUCCAGAUUGAUAGCUACAUCAUCCCUGAAUCAAACACCCAUUGGUUAACGCUAUCCUAGCCUCUUAUGUCAUCUGCCAGAGGCAUGCAGAUAAGCAACUCCACAGUUUCACAGCCAAUUAUAGCUGUGACCAGUUGCCUUGCAUCUCUCCAGUAGAGCAAGCAAAUGUUGGAUCUAGACACCUUCCAUCUGUCAAGUCCCCUUGGCUCACCAUCAACUCAGGUCCUAGUAACCGUACCACACUGUCAGCAGGAAAAGUUGAUGCAGCAUACAGGAAGACUGGACAAACUACAACAAGUGACCCAGGAUUCAGGCAGUAGGUUUAAGAAUGCAAAGAGCUGGACAGUCAAGAUGGUAUAGACUUGUGUGGCUGACAGCAUGAGCAUCCCUAUGGAGAGCAGCAUCUCGUUGUAAAAUCACCUGGAAGACAAGGAUGUGAGUAACUAUGAGAGCUGGUGCUUUGUCCCAGGGAAUAGAUCAUUUGAUAUAUUAAUUCCCAAUGUCCAAAAAUAUCCCUUUUAAUUAUAAACAUGUAUUAACAUUAAAAGUAAAGUUUUUAUUUCAAAAGCAUAAGAACUUACACAGAUUUGGACAUUUAGGUAAACACCCAUGUUUAGUCAAUACCUAUAUAACUCACGAUGACAAA